UACGAAGGGGGCUAGCGUUGCUCGGAAUCACUGGGCGUAAAGCGCACGUAGGCGGAUUGUUAAGUCAUACGUGAAAUCCCUCAGCUUAACUGGGGAACUGCGUGUGAUACUGGAUGGCUUGGAUUUGGGAGAGGGAUGCGGAAUUCCAGGUGUAGCGGUGAAAUGCGCAGAUAUCAGGAAGAACACCAAUGGCGAAGGCAGCUCUCUGGGACGGUACUGACGCUGAGACGCGAAAGCGUGGGGAGCGAACAGG
rnacentral:rRNA from 1 species